rnacentral:rRNA from 1 species
UACAGAGGUCUCAAGCGUUGUUCGGAUUCAUUGGGCGUAAAGGGUGUGUAGGUGGCGCCGUAAGUCGGGUGUGAAAUUUCGGAGCUUAACUCCGAAACUGCAUUCGAUACUGCGGUGCUUGAGGACUGGAGAGGAGACUGGAAUUCAUGGUGUAGCGGUGAAAUGUGUAGAGAUCGGGAGGAACACCGGUGGCGAAGGCGGGUCUCUGGGCAAUUCCUGACGCUGAGGCGCGAAAGCGUGGGGAGCAAACGGG